rnacentral:rRNA from 1 species
GCUUGUCUCAAAGAUUAAGCCAUGCAUGUAUAAGUUUAAUCGUUUAUCGAGAAACCGCGAACGGCUCAUUACAAUGGCCAUUAUUUACUUGAUCUUGAUUGUCUAAAUGGAUAACUGUGGAAAAGCUAGAGCUAAUACAUGCACUAAAGCUUUGUCCUUACGGAAAAGCGCAUUUAUUAGAACAAAACCACGCGGCUUCGGCUGCUUCUUGUUGACUCAGAAUAACUUAGCUGACCGCAUGGCCUUGUGCCGGCGGCGUGUCUUUCAAGCGUCCACUUUAUCAACUUGACGGGAGCAUAAUCGACUCCCGUGGUGGUGACGGAUAACGGAGGAUCAGGGUUCGACUCCGGAGAAGGGGCCUGAGAAAUGGCCACUACGUCUAAGGAUGGCAGCAGGCGCGCAAAUUACCCACUCUCGGCUCGAGGAGGUAGUGACGAGAAAUAACGAGACUGUUCUCUUUGAGGCCGGUCAUCGGAAUGGGUACAAUUUAAACCCUUUAACGAGUAUCAAGCAGAGGGCAAGUCUGGUGCCAGCAGCCGCGGUAAUUCCAGCUCUGCAAAUACAUAGAAUUAUUGCUGCGGUUAGAAAGCUCAUAGUUGGAUUCGUAUCGAUACCUUGGAACCCUUCGGGUGUCUCUAGGUGUUAUCGAUUUAUCGUAAUGUUCGGUUUUGAGUCCUUAACAGGAUUCUUAACAGGCAUUGCAAGUUUACUUUGAACAAAUCAGAGUGCUUCAAACAGGCGUUUUCGCUUGAAUGAUCGUGCAUGGAAUAAUAGAAAAUGAUUUCGGUUCAGUUUUAUUGGUUUUACGGACUGAGAUAAUGGUUAACAGAGACAAACGGGGGCAUUUGUAUGGUCCCGUGAGAGGUGAAAUUCUUGGACCGUGGCCAGACAAACUACAGCGAAAGCAUUUGCCAAGAAUGUUUUUAUUAAUCAAGAACGAAAGUCAGAGGUUCGAAGGCGAUCAGAUACCGCCCUAGUUCUGACCGUAAACGAUGCCAACUAGCGAUCCGCCGAUGGAAAUUAUAUUGCCUUGGUGGGGAGCUUCCCGGAAACGAAAGUCUUCCGGUUCCGGGGGAAGUAUGGUUGCAAAGCUGAAACUUAAAGGAAUUGACGGAAGGGCACCCCCAGGAGUGGAGCCUGCGGCUUAAUUUGACUCAACACGGGGAAACUCACCCGGCCCGGACACUGUGAGGAUUGACAGAUUGAUAGCUUUUUCAUGAUUCAGUGGAUGGUGGUGCAUGGCCGUUCUUAGUUCGUGGAGUGAUUUGUCUGGUUUAUUCCGAUAACGAGCGAGACUCUAACCUACUAAAUAGUUGGUACAUACUCUUAGUGUAUACAGCUUCUUAGAGGGAUUUGCGGCGUUCAGCCGAAAGAAAUUGAGCAAUAACAGGUCUGUGAUGCCCUUAGAUGUCCGGGGCUGCACGCGCGCUACACUGGCAAAAUCAACGUGCUUGUCCUACCCUGAAAGGGGCGGGUAAACCAUUGAAAAUUUGCCGUGAUUGGGAUCGGAAAUUGCAAUUAUUUUCCGUGAACGAGGAAUUCCAAGUAAGUGCGAGUCAUCAGCUCGCGUUGAUUACGUCCCUGCCCUUUGUACACACCGCCCGUCGCUGCCCGGGACUGAGCCAUUUCGAGAAAUUUGGGGACCGUUGAUUUAAUUUUUCUAAAUUACUUUGAUGGAAACCAAUUUAAUCGCAGUGGCUUGAACCGGGCAAAAGUCGUAACAAGGUAGCUGUAGGUGAACCUGCUGCUGGAUCAUUACUUUAUGUGAUGUUCAAAUUUGAAUUCGCAAUGAAAUGAUCGUUGUGAAACGGCUGUCGCUGGUGUCUAAGUGUUGCUGAUACAGUUGUGAACGUCCGUGGCUGUAUAUGUGGUGACAUGUUAGGACUCUAAUGAGUUUAAGACCUAAUGAGCCUCUUAAGUGAGGCCGCCAGCAACCUUUUUUUUCUCUACAUUUUAAAAAAAAAACUAAAAUUCUACCCUUAUCGGUGGAUCACUAGGCUCGUGGAUCGAUGAAGAACGCAGCAAACUGCGAUAAUUAUUGCGAACU